CACAGCACAUGUAUAUAACCGCAGUAUCCGGCGCAACCUUACUGCUUGAGGGAGGCUUAGGUCGGAAUAGAAUGCUGUUGCACAAAGGUUCGCCGGUAGUAACCGCUGAGAAUUUUAGUUUUGCGGCAGGGCACUUUAUAUAACUCUACUUAACAUCUAUUGAUUUGAUCCUCCUUGUGAUGUCUAAUGAAGGAAAAUAAUCAUUGUACUUGAUUUCGUUGCUUACUGAGUUAGCAGCUCACUGGCCCAAGAGUGUGGACAAAAAUCUCAGCCUGAGAUGAUUGGGGUGGAUGGAAAGCCUAGUUGGAGUGAGGACCUCAUUUAACCAUGAAUGCUGUUAUCUCUUGGAUUUGGACAUAAUUCCUAAAGAGCUGAUCAUUGGCCUGUGACUUACCCUUAAAUGUGUAACACUGGUAUUUACAAUAUGAUUCACUAUUACUAUCUACUGUGUUGAAAUCCAGCUUACUUUGUUUCAAAAUGCUUUCUGCCUAUUUUCAUUUAAAAAACAUCCUUAUUUUCCUGCUUAUGCCAUUUUAAAACACUAAUUUGAAAUUGUUUUUACUGAAUGUCCUACCCCAUUUCCCUUUAUAAACAAUUUGAGCAAACACCCCCUCAACAGCUUUUGAGCAGCUUAUUACUAGAGGGCUUCUCAGUUAUUUAUUAGUACCUCUUGCCUCAUCAAAACUAGGAACUGCUUAGGUGAAACUGGUUUCAUUAUCUCCUUUAUUGAGAGAAUGUGAUGUGAGAUAGACAUAACAGAUAGGCAUCACAUGGAGUAGGUGUCUUUAAUGUUGAGCGCUGUGAGAUAAUUGUUAGUGGCCAUUGUUGUGAUGACAGAAUGAAGAGAUCUCAUUUUGAACUUGGGAGAGUGGGACGAACGAACUUGUUCAACUGCUUUAGCUCCAGGACUGGUCAAAUUGAUCUGUUCUUCUCAUGGACCAGAGUAAUUACUGAAUCAUCCAGCAUGUCCCUGAUGACCUCUGAAAAGGCUUGGGCCCAAGUGGGUUCUCUGGGAACCUGGGACAUAAAGAAACGGUUGGGAAUUGAGAGAACUCGAGAUGAUAACCAAGCACACUACCUCCUGGACCCAUGCAUCCCGAAUGUGAGAAAGCCAUACCUCCUAAAAGAUCAAGAGCUGGCCCAAAUUGCAGAGGGUUGACUAACCCAUAAUGCGGAGUUUUGCUAGUCCGGCUGUUUGUUCUGGAAUGCCACCCCUGCCUGGUCAUGGAGGAGAAUGACUGACCAAUGGAGCCCAAGUGAAAGAACCUACCUCUGCAAAAAGAACAGUUCUUGUUUUGUGGUAGAAGGGUGCUGCAAACAAAAGUUUGCUCUUGAAGGGAAUAGAGGUUAGGGACUUUUUUUUUUUUUGAGGAUAGAUCAGCUGACAACAACUUCAGCCAAAGAGAACUGGCUGCCAUAGACAAGGCUUAGGCCCUGCUGGAAAACGGUGCGUAGUCCAGGGCACCUUCACAGAUGUAACUGUUGGCUUCCUUGAUUUGGGUAGCCAGACAUGCCAGCUCUUGUCUGGACGUUCCCAACAUGAUGCCAUCCAGAAGCCAUUCUACCCAAGAUUGAGCUGCCCUGCCAAGUUGAUGUAAGGAUGGGACAAAGAGCUAUCCCUGAGAAGGACAAAAUGGACCACAGGAACCCCUUUAAUUUGAACUAAGAUCUAGCAGUCACUGGUUUUGGGCAUGCUAUUAACAAGUCUUCAUUGAACACUACCUCCCUCUGGUUUUUAGGAUACUCCUAUCCUCAUACCAAGCAUGACUUACACCGUAAGAUAACAUUUACUUCAGAUAUAAAGCAAGAGGAUACUGAAUGACAGUUAUUUACUACAUGUGCUCUAUUAAGCAACUUCUUGCUAUAUGUGUUAAUAAUCUGACUAACCAUUGUUACCUAUUGAUUACUAAAUAUACAGUAUGUCCUUCCUAGGGUUAUUUUGCCUUCCUCUACUAUUAGUACCUCUAGUACUAAGAGUUAAGCAUGAAUUCACUUGAACAAAAAGUUCAACUUAAUGUACAAUAUUCCUUUGUAACAAAUGAGUUUCUAGCACCGAUACAUCAUGCAAGAACUAACAGCGCACUUUUAUUACCAUUCUAAAAGCAAAAAAAUAUUUAAUUAAGAGACAACACAAGCAAGGCUUCAUGAAUAAUUUAUUUUCUUUUAAGUAUAAACUUUUCAAUUCCUUAACCACAUUCUGUACAAUUCUAUUUAUGGCACUUGGCAGCAAAAAUAUUUGUUCUUCAUUUUGCAUUUAGGUGGGGAAAAAAAACGAAACACUUGGACCAUUAACCAUCUCAGUGGAAGAAACAUAAAUCCACUGAAUGUAAUCUACUAUGGCCCUCAUGUAUGGACCAGCUACUUGGACUGAAAUUCUAAGAUAUGUAAUCCCUUAAUACCAUUGUGUUGGCCCCCCUCCUCUUAAGAAAUAAAAUAGAUUCAACAUGUUUUCUGCAAAUACAAGAGAUCUUCAUUGUAAGAAUAUAGAGAGAAAGAUCUUGCCAUACUCUAUAAGAAAGCUAGGAUGGAUAUGCCUCAAGGCUAAUUUGGCAUUAACACCAUAAUUUUGUUUAGAGAAAAAGAAAAACUCCACCCAAGAAAAUCAUAUUACGGCUUUAUGGGUGUAAAAUUCAGAUCCAAAUUUCUUUGAAUUUUAAUUGCAACACUCAUAUUCUAGAGGAAACAGCCAAAUUGCCUUCUGCAAAAUACUACAAAAUAGUCAAUAAAAUUCCAAAAUGAGGGGAGGGGAGAGGGGUAUCACUCAAGAAAAUUGGUAUUCAAAAAUAGUUGCCUAACAUAUAAGAAUACCUUAUUUAAUUAUGUGUUAAACUUCAAUUAUCUGAUGUCUUAACGAAGGAAAAUGCUGUUGGUACCAUAAAAAGCCCAAAUAAAGAUAUAAAACUUAAUUUAAAAUAUAUUACAAUAAAUGUAAAUUAAAUUAGCCCUUGAGUAAAAUUAAACAUACAAAACUGGGGUGUAAAAUAAAAUUAAAAAAAAAAAGUAUUCAAAAAAAAAAUCUGCAUUUUAGUUUUUUUUUUUUUGUUUUGUUUUUUUUUUCUUUUCCUAAAAUUCAUGGUGAUAGCAUUUUAUACACCAGCAACACUGUUUCAGGAAAUCAGUCACUGAUUUCCCCAAAAUAAAUUUUGAUCACAGUCCCUUAAUUGACUGAUCGAGCAAUGGUUUAAUCACAGAAAAUGUAAAUUACACAAACAGAAAAGGAAGGAAAAAGCACAUUCUGCGGUUACCCACACAAAGCAAAAAUCAAAUGGUCACCUUGGAAAAUGUCAUGUUGUGUGAUUUACUCACAUGGAAGCCACACAAGCAUUUCACUGAUAGCAAGCUUUUAUUCCAUUGCAUCACACAACACAAGUCUGUGGGCUUCUAGGGUAUUCUUAAAUUGUAACAGUCUACCACACUUGUUAUAUCCCUCCACGUGGCUCCAUGUUCUUUGUUCCUGCAGCUGGAGCUAGAAGCUUUUCUAUCACAGAACAGCCUUCUGCCCGCCAUCUUGAUGUUUUAUUACAGUGUGGUAUCACAAAGGCAAAAUGACACAAUCAUCUGUACCACCUGUAAUUGCUGUUUUUGGGCAACUAGGAGGUGCAAUGGUUUCAAAGGAAAGUCUAUAUCCCCUUUAAGAUAUUUUAAAAUGUGUGCUGGUUUUGCAUACAUUUCCCCUUAGCACUCCUCAUUCUCUAGGCUUCUCCAGGUUCUGGUCACAAAAUGCACAGCCCAUAAGGGCAGCAAACACACCAGCAAUAAACUGCAUGGGAUCUAGAUAACGUAUGCUACAGUAUGGUUCAGUGAUAGACACACAUUGGAAUUCCAAUUGUUGCAAAACUAAAAUUAAGCUAAUUCUACUAGCUAUUAAGAAAGCUGUAGUUCUGCAACAUCUAAACGGUCAAAUAUUGCAUAUCAUAUAAGUAAUGUUUGGCAUAAAGAUACCAUAGAGAUGAAUCGGAUGGUGUUCUGCUUGUACCUGGAGCAAACCAGCCUUAAAUGUGCAAAAUAAAGCAGCAUUCAGUCAUAGCUGAAUACGGACUAUCCCACUGAAAUAUGAAUGGUCAUAUUUAUCUACAUCAACUUUGUUGCAUUUGAAACAGUUUAAGGUUUUAAAAUAAAAAUGCUGCUAAGCAGAAACUUGUCUUGGCUCAAAUAGCCCAUAGGAGCCUUCCCCUAGUAAAUGUGCUUAUAGUGUGGGUAAACAAAUAAGAACAAAUGGCAAUAGUGUUUGCAGUUAAGGGAAGCAAGUGCAAUUUAACACCUACAAGUUAACAAAGUGGCAUACUCGGAGUGCGGGAGAAGGCAAACAUGAGAAGUGGAGAUCACAGUUGAUCAUGUAGUGUGGUAGCAACAGAAGCUGGAGUGCUGCAAAUCUAGUGGUUAAAUGGGGAUAAAAGAAAGGAGCAGGAAGAGACACUGGUAGGAAGGGCACAACUGGCAAACCAUUGACAGGAACAGUCAGGAACCAUCGUUUUACACUUCCCAAAGCAGAACCUUUUAUUCCAUUCACACAUGGCAUUUUCAAAAAUGUCCCUCAGCAGCAUAAUUACACCAAUGCUCGAAACACCGGCUGCUAAUUUGCCAGCGUUAUUACGAAUGUGUGCUCCAGUGCCAGUCUCAUAAGACUUGCUGGUGCCAUUCUACAGUGUAUUUUAGCCACAUGUAGUAGCUACCAUUGCAUUUUCAUUGCAGUUAAUACUCUUAGGGAAAUGUAAUGACUUUUUCAGCAAACUACCCUGCCUUGUUUGCUGUUUUAACGGCCAUCAGAAAUACAUGCCUGCCAUUUGGCCGAUGGAAUUAAUUUCAAUGUAAAUGCAUUUUCAGCGUUACUACACCGCCAAGGGAAUUUUUUUAAAAAUGCAGCAUUAGCCAUAGUGUUGUUGAGCCUAUUCUGAACAACGCCAUAUCUUUAUUGUGUAAAAGUCACAUUAUUAGAGUUAGAAAAUCUAGAAAUGGCUCAGUUAAGAGUGUAUCCUUAUUUAAAGCUUCUAAAUCACAAACAAUAGAAGUUAGUGCAAGUCUAAGGACAAUGUCACAUGGUCAUUUUCCUGCCGCAUUAAAAUACCAGGGAAGACAUGCACAGUAAAAACAAAAAUAUUCUCUGGGGCAAGGCACAAAAAUUGUCAGUAGGGACAACUAUUUAUGAACCUAGCUGGUUGGAACCCACUAGUGAUACAUGGCAGUUACUAGGAAAGCCUAGUGCAGUGGUUUCAAAUAAUGUGGGGCUGGCCCCCUCUAGGGGUCCUGGAGUAGGGACCAUAAAUUUCCUAUUCCUCCUUGAUACUGCUGGAAGCCCAGCUUUACACAGUCAAUAAAGGGGAGAUUUAGGAAGUGCUGGCUUAGAUAUGAGCUAAGGGGUGCCUGAUAAAAAAAAAAAUUGUUUAAAAAUCACUGGUCUUGCGUGAGAGCUGUUUGCCUAUUAGCCUCACUAUGGCAUAGAGUUGAAGACAUUUACUCCAAAAUCCAACCUGUAAUUUCAUUAGAAUGAUAUAAGAGUUUGAAUUGGGCACAAACGUAAAUCAAAUAAAAUCAGAAAGAUUGAUGCUCUAAUAGGAGGGGGGUGGUACAAAUUAUUUUAAAUAGCCACACAUUUUCAAGAGCGCAGAUAACUACACUAAGUGGCAUGCUUACUAACACUGGAGAUAAGUAUCACUGUUGAGGCUUGCCAUAGCAACCAAUCAGCAAUUUGAUUUAAAAGUCACCUACAAGUUUGG